GAUGAACGCUGACAGUAUGCUUAACACAUGCAAGUCUAUCGCGAAGCUGUGCUUUCACCGCCUAGCCAAGACGGACGCGUGAGAAACGCGUAAUGAACUUGCCCCACCGUCUGGGAUAACAGACUGAUACGACUGAUAAGACCAGGUAAAAGAAGACUGACCCAUGUCUAGGCUCAUGUAAAGAGAUGCUGCAGGAGAGGCUUGCGCCCUAUUAGCUUGUUGUUGGGGUAACGGCUCACCAAGGGGACGAUAGGUAGCCGGCCUGAGAGGGUGCACGGCCACAAGGGGACUGAGACACGGCCCUGACUCCUACGGGAGGCAGCAGUGGGGAAUAUUGGACAAUGGGGGCAAGCCUGAUCCAGCAAUUCCGUGUGAACGAAGAAGGUUUUCGGAUUGUAAAGUUCUUUCAGCAGGGAAGAAAAAAAUGACGGUACCUGAAGAAGAAGCGACGGCUAACUACGUG
rnacentral:rRNA from 1 species